ACGGCUCCCUUUCGCUUUCCUUCCCGCGGCCAUGUCUCCUUGUUACCUCCCUAUCUUCAUCAUCUAUCUCUUUCUUCCCUCCCUAUCUCCGGCGGCUCUAUCUCCUUCAUCCCUCCCUAUCUCCCGCACAGCUCCUUUAUCGUAGCUCUGGGCAACUCUUAUCUCCUUUCCCGCAGCUCUUGGGAGCUCGUGUCGCAGCCCCCUGGCCACAGCUCCUCGUGUCACAGAAGCGCACUUACGAGACAGACAGACACAUUCACACACACACACACACACUCACAGCUCGAUAAGAAGAGAGAGGACCAUCGUCCACAAGGCCCAAGGCCUAAGCCUGAAAGCAACAGAAACCUGAGAGUCUGAGAUCGGAGGCAGAGACUCCGUCCUUUCACAGAUCGGACCAAAACCGAAGCUAAGAAAGAAGAGAUUAUUGCAGUCGUCAACCUUGUGAAAAGGUGCUUGAACUUGAAUGGAAAGAAACGACCUACGAUGAAAGAGGUCGCAAAAGAGUUGAAGGCAGUACUGCAAAUCUCACGAAAAGCCUCUAACCUUCACCAAAACUUUGAAGAGGUCGUACUCAAGAAUGAAAUGUUCGAUCAGUAUAAUGUUUCUACAUCAACAAUUGCAGGUAUGGACAGCGGCAUAGCCUCAUGUUUAGAUGCUGAACCAUUAUUAUCGUCUUACAUAUUAGGGCCAGUAUUUGCCCAAUUUCAUCUUGUGGGCUACAUAAUUUAGUCUUUUGGUUGAAUAUAUCAUGAAGUUAAUGCAUGCCAGCCAUGAAUAUAUCACUGAACAUGGAUUGUAGAUGAUAUUAUAUCUUAUGGUGGAAUGAGGCAUGCAAACAUAUACGCCUUUUAUGGUCUCA